CCUUAGCUCAGUUGGUUAGAGCACUCGGCUCAUAACCGAUCGGUCACAGGUUCGAGUCCUGUAGGGC
rnacentral:tRNA from 1 species